rnacentral:rRNA from 1 species
UACGUAGGUGGCAAGCGUUGUUCGGAAUUAUUGGGCGUAAAGGGCGCGUAGGCGGUUUUGUAAGUCAGCUGUGAAAGCCCGGGGCUCAACCCCGGAGGGUCGGCUGAUACUGCAGGACUAGAGUACGGAAGAGGUAGCUGGAAUUCCCGGUGUAGCGGUGAAAUGCGUAGAUAUGCGGAGGAACACCGAUGGCGAAGGCAGUCCCCUGGGCCUGUACUGACGCUCAUGCACGAAAGCGUGGGGAGCAAACAGG